CAAUCAGCUUUCUCAGAAGAAUUCCGUCUCUUUCGAUUAUCGUCUCAUCUUUUCUCCUCAAGCAAAAACGUUUUCCAGACGAUUGUCUUCUCAACUCUCGUACUUUCCUCCAUCACUCAUAAUUAUCUAUUGAUCCAACCCAUAGAAUCUCUAACAAUAGAUUAAUUCGUCUGUUUGAUUCAAUUUCAUCACCAUCCACAACCGAGACGACGACGAGGACGAGCAGGAAACUCGAGACUUGGUACCGGAAUCGUCAGAUCUAGCUCUGAACAGACUGGAGAAUCUGUUCCACCAGUGAAACUGUUCUCAGCGAGGUUAAGCCUCACGAGGUUAGUGAGACUGAACAAGCUCUCGGGUAUUUGCCGGAGAAUCUGUUUCCUUGCAGGUAGAGGUGACGGAGAUCGGAGGAGGUGGUUAGAUCGAGAGGGAGAGAGCCGGCGAGGGCGGUGAGACGGAGGCUCAGUGUUCGGAGACGAGUUAAGUUUCCGAAAACACUGUUCGGGAUGGUGCCGGAGAGAGAGACGCCGGGGAGACGGAGGGCGGUGACUCUGUUGUUGUCGCAUUUUACGCCGGCCCAGUUACACGGCGAGGUUUGUCUGAUGUCCCAGCAGAAUGUGCGGCCGCCGACGGAGGAACGGAGAGAGAGAAGAGCGGCUCUAUCGGCGUUGAGGUCUUGGGUUGAAGGGAGAGGGAGAGAGAGAGAGUAAGAGGGUUGUGAGGAGAACAGAGAGAAUCGUCAUGGAGGAGUUGGGGAAGACUCGCAUUGUGCGAUGAUUCAUAGAAGGAGAAGGAGAGAGAGAGAGAGAGAGAGAGAGACGGUAGAAGAAAGAGAAGGCUCUUUUGCAGAGCUGUGGUUAUAGAGACAGAAGUGAAAGCAUUCAACAGCCUAAUCCUAGAUGUAACAAACGCUGCUGCAGAAUGAAAAUGGAAUCAUAGUUGCUGAGAGAGUCUUAUUGUUUCUAUACGUAAUUGAUAUUAAAUUAGGUUACUGCUCCUCCAGGUAAAGCUAUUCGUUUCUUCAGAGAGCGCACCACCAACCGUCACGAGGAUCUCUAUCUCCUUCUCUGUUGCGCAGGAGACGAUCUCCGUCUCUAUUCUUCCUUUCCGAACCUGAGAAACGUGAACGGAGAUGGUACUUUUGUCAUUAUCUCAACAUAAUCUCCGGCUGCCGGAAUCUGUAUCUACGGUGUUUCGGGGUUACGCAACCGCCACAUCGAAACACGCCUGCGACCAUCUUCGCCGUCACCUCCGACUUGGCUUCCAUAUCCGCUCUUCCCUUCAGAUACUGCUGCAAGUCUAUGAUGCUC